rnacentral:rRNA from 1 species
UCCGUGUCUAUUGUACCCUGUUGCUUCGGCGGGCCCGCCGCUUGUCGGCCGCCGGGGGGGCGCCUCUGCCCCCCGGGCCCGUGCCCGCCGGAGACCCCAACACGAACACUGUCUGAAAGCGUGCAGUCUGAGUUGAUUGAAUGCAAUCAGUUAAAACUUUCAACAAUGGAUCUCUUGGUUCCGGCAUCGAUGAAGAACGCAGCGAAAUGCGAUAACUAAUGUGAAUUGCAGAAUUCAGUGAAUCAUCGAGUCUUUGAACGCACAUUGCGCCCCCUGGUAUUCCGGGGGGCAUGCCUGUCCGAGCGUCAUUGCUGCCCUCAAGCCCGGCUUGUGUGUUGGGUCGCCGUCCCCCUCUCCGGGGGGACGGGCCCGAAAGGCAGCGGCGGCACCGCGUCCGAUCCUCGAGCGUAUGGGGCUUUGUCACAUGCUCUGUAGGAUUGGCCGGCGCCUGCCGACGUUUUCCAACCAUUCUUUCCAGGUUGACCUCGGAUCAGGUAGGGAUACCCGCUGAACUUAAGCAUAUCAAUAAGCGGAGGA